rnacentral:rRNA from 1 species
AGCUGGUGUACAGGUGGUGCAUGGUUGUCGUCAGCUCGUGUCGUGAGAUGUUGGGUUAAGUCCCGCAACGAGCGCAACCCUCGUUCUAUGUUGCCAGCACGUGAUGGUGGGAACUCAUAGGAGACUGCCGGGGUCAACUCGGAGGAAGGUGGGGAUGACGUCAAAUCAUCAUGCCCUUUAUGUCUUGGGCUUCACGCAUGCUACAAUGGCUGGUACAGAGAGAGGCGAACCCGUGAGGGUAAGCGAAUCCCUUAAAGCCAGUCUCAGUUCGGAUCGUAGUCUGCAAUUCGACUACGUGAAGUCGGAGUCGCUAGUAAUCGCAGAUCAGCAACGCUGCGGUGAAUACGUUCCCGGGCCUUGUACACACCGCCCGUCAAGUCACGAAAGUCGGUAACACCCGAAGCCGGUGUCCCAACCCUUAUGGGAGGGGGCCGUCUAAGG